AUUGAACGCUGGCGGCAUGCCUUACGCAUGCAAGUCGAACGGCAGCACGGGAGCAAUCCUGGUGGCGAGUGGCGAACGGGUGAGUAACAUAUCGGAACGUGCCCAGUAGUGGGGGAUAGCCCGGCGAAAGCCGGAUUAAUACCGCAUACGACCCAAGGGUGAAAGCGGGGGAUCGCAAGACCUCGCGCUAUUGGAGCGGCCGAUAUCAGAUUAGCUAGUUGGUGGGGUAAAAGCCUACCAAGGCGACGAUCUGUAGCUGGUCUGAGAGGACGACCAGCCACACUGGGACUGAGACACGGCCCAGACUCCUACGGGAGGCAGCAGUGGGGAAUUUUGGACAAUGGGCGCAAGCCUGAUCCAGCCAUGCCGCGUGCGGGAAGAAGGCCUUCGGGUUGUAAACCGCUUUUGUCAGGGAAGAAACGGUCCGUGCUAAUACCACGGGCUAAUGACGGUACCUGAAGAAUAAGCACCGGCUAACUACGUGCCAGCAGCCGCGGUAAUACGUAGGGUGCAAGCGUUAAUCGGAAUUACUGGGCGUAAAGCGUGCGCAGGCGGUCAUGCAAGACAGAUGUGAAAUCCCCGGGCUCAACCUGGGAACUGCAUUUGUGACUGCAUGACUUGAGUACGGUAGAGGGGGAUGGAAUUCCGCGUGUAGCAGUGAAAUGCGUAGAUAUGCGGAGGAACACCGAUGGCGAAGGC
rnacentral:rRNA from 1 species